rnacentral:rRNA from 1 species
AACGAACGCUGCGGCAUGCCUAACACCUGCAAGUCGAACGAGACCUUCGGGUCUAGUGGCGCACGGGUGCGUAACGCGUGGGAACCUGCCCUUAGGUUCGGAAUAACUCCCCGAAAGGGGUGCUAAUACCGGAUAAUGUCUUCGGACCAAAGAUUUAUCGCCUUUGGAUGGGCCCGCGUUGGAUUAGCUAGUUGGUAGGGUAAAAGCCUACCAAGGCGACGAUCCAUAGCUGGUCUGAGAGGAUGAUCAGCCACACUGGGACUGAGACACGGCCCAGACUCCUACGGGAGGCAGCAGUGGGGAAUAUUGGACAAUGGGCGAAAGCCUGAUCCAGCAAUGCCGCGUGAGUGAUGAAGGCCUUAGGGUUGUAAAGCUCUUUUACCCGGGAUGAUAAUGACAGUACCGGGAGAAUAAGCUCCGGCUAACUCCGUG